AUUGAACGCUGGCGGAAUGCUUUACACAUGCAAGUCGAGCGGCAGCGCGGCCUUCGGGCUGGCGGCGAGCGGCGAACGGGUGGGUAAUGCAUCGGAACAUGCCCAGUCGUGGGGGAUAACACUUCGAAAGAAGUGCUAAUACCGCAUACGUCCUGAGGGGGAAAGCGGGGGAUCGCAAGACCUCGCGCGAUUGGAGUGGCCGAUGUCAGAUUAGCUAGUUGGUGGGGUAAAGGCCUACCAAGGCGACGAUCUGUAGCUGGUCUGAGAGGAUGAUCAGCCACACUGGGACUGAGACACGGCCCAGACUCCUACGGGAGGCAGCAGUGGGGAAUUUUGGACAAUGGGGGCAACCCUGAUCCAGCCAUUCCGCGUGAGUGAAGAAGGCCUUCGGGUUGUAAAGCUCUUUCGGCAGGAACGAAACGGUGGGCUCUAACAUAGUCCGCUAAUGACGGUACCUGAAGAAGAAGCACCGGCUAACUACGUG
rnacentral:rRNA from 1 species